AAAAUUAAAGAGCCGCGGUAUAUUGACCGUGCAAAGGUAGCAUAAUCAUUAGUUUUUUAAUUGGAAACUUGUAUGAAUGGUUGGACAAAAGAGAAGCUGUCUCUAUUAUAAAUAUUGAAUUUAACUUUUAAGUGAAAAGGCUUAAAUAAUUUAAUGGGACGAUAAGACCCUAUAAAACAUUUUAUUGGGGCGAUAAAGGUAUAAGUAUUAACUGUUUUAGUAGAGAACAAUAGAUUUUUGAAAUGAUCCUUUUUAAAGAUUCAAAGACUAAGUUACUUUAGGGAUAACAGCGUAAUUUCUUUUGAGAGUUCAUAUUGAAAAAGAAGAUUGCGACCUCGAUGUUGAAUUAAAAUGUCUAUUCAGGGCAGCACCUGAACAAGAAGAUCUGUUCGAUCUUUAAAUUUUU
rnacentral:rRNA from 1 species